rnacentral:rRNA from 1 species
AAGGGCGUAUGGCGGAUGCCUAGGCUCACAGAGGCGAUGAAGGACGUGAUAAGCUGCGAUAAGCUUCGGGUAGGUGCAAAUAACCUUUGAUCCGAGGAUUUCCGAAUGGGACAACCCAUACAUUUGAAGAAUGUAUAUCUCUACCUAAGGUAGAGAGGCAAACCGAGGGAACUGAAACAUCUUAGUACCUCGAGGAAGAGAAAAUAAAUAAUGAUUCCCCCAGUAGUGGCGAGCGACCGGGGAAGAGCCCAAACCGUCGUUGUUUCGGCAUCGGCGGGGUAGUAGGACCGCGAUAUUGUAUGUGUUUUGUGAGUAGAAUGUUCUGGAAAGAACAACCAUAGGAGGUGAAAGUCCUGUAUACGAAGCAAAACAUGGCAUAGCGGUAUCCUGAGUAGCGCGGAGCACGAGGAAUUCUGCGUGAAUCAGCCGGGACCAUCCGGUAAGGCUAAAUACUCCUGUGAGACCGAUAGUGAACGAGUACUGUGAAGGAAAGGUGAAAAGCACUCCGAUGAGGAGAGUGAAAUAGUUCCUGAAACCAUACGCCUACAAGCGGUCGGAGCUCAGCAAUGAGUGACGGCGUGCCUUUUGCAUAAUGAACCUACGAGUUACCGUCUCUGGCAAGGUUUAGUAUCUCAGAUACGUAUCCGCAGUGAAAGCGAGCCUGAAAUGGGCGUAUAGUCAGAGGGGGUAGACGCGAAACCAAGUGAUCUACACUUGGCCAGGUUGAAGUUCCGGUAACACGGAAUGGAGGACCGAACGGAUAAGCGUUGAAAAGCUUCCCGAUGAGCCGAGUGUAGGAGUGAAAGGCCAAUCAAACUUGGAGAUAGCUCGUACUCCCCGAAAUGCAUUUAGGUGCAGCGUGUAUCGAUCCGCAUGAGAGGUAGAGCGACCGAUAGGUCAAGAGGGCUUCACCGCCUAUCGAGACCUGACGAACUCCGAAUGCUCAUGCGCCGCAGAUAUGCAGUAAGGGGGCGGGUGCUAAGGUCCGUCCCCGAGAGGAGAAGAAUCCAGACCGCCAACUAAGGCCCCGAAAUUCUGUCUGAGUUAGUCUAACGAAGUCUGGUCCCUAUGACAGCUAGGAUGUUGGCUUGGAAGCAGCCAUUCAUUCAAAGAGUGCGUAACAGCUCACUAGUCGAGGGUCCGGGCAUGGAUAAUAAUCGGGUAUAAGGCAGAUGCCGAAGUUGCGGGAUAGUAAUAAUAAAAGUAUCGGUAGGGGAGCAUUCCAUCGGCGCAGAAUGCAAAGGAUGACCUUUGCUGGAGCUUAUGGAAAAGCAAAUGUAGGUAUAAGUAACGAUAAAAGGGGUUAGAUUCCCCUUCGCCGCAAGACCAAGGUUUCCCGGGCAAUGCCAAUCAGCCCGGGGUUAGUCAGGUCCUAAGUCUCAGCCGAACGGCGAUGGCGAUGGCAGAAACGGUUAAUAUUCCGUUACUGCCGCAUGGAGUGAUGUGGAGACGGAGCAGUGACACUACCGCGGAGAUACGGAAUUCUCCGUUGAAGGGUGUAGGCGCAGAUCGAGGCAGGCAAAUCCACCUUGAGAGCCGAACCUGAUAGUAUGGAGUCUUCUUCGGAAGAGUCCAAUAGCGUAGGUAAUCAUACUUCCUAGAAAAUCCGCUAAACUUAAUCCAUGCGGCACCUGUACCGCAAACGGACACACGUGGUCGGGUAGAACAUACUAAGGCGUUGAGAGAUUCUUGGUUAAGGAACUAGGCAAAUUGACCCUGUAACUUCGGGAUAAAGGGUCCUCACAGUAAUGUGAGGCGCAGAGAAUAGGUCCAGGCAACUGUUUAACAAAAACACAGGGCUGUGCAAACUCGAAAGAUGACGUAUACAGCCUGACACCUGCCCGGUGCCGGAAGGUUAAGAGGAGAAGUCAGUAGCAAUAUGAAGCUUUGAAUUGAAGCCCCGGUAAACGGCGGCCGUAACUAUAACGGUCCUAAGGUAGCGAAAUUCCUUGUCGGGUAAGUUCCGACCUGCACGAAUGGUGUAAUGAUCCGGACGCUGUCUCAACCAAGAGCUCAGUGAAAUUGUAGUAUCGGUGAAGAUGCCGAUUACCCGCGAUGGGACGAAAAGACCCCGUGAACCUUUACUACAGCUUAGCAUUGACUUUGGUCAUCCGAUGUGUAGGAUAGGCCGGAGGCUUUGAAGCAGGCACGCCAGUGUUUGUGGAGCCAUCCUUGAAAUACGGCCCUUUGGCUGUCUGAAGUCUAACGCGCUCUGCGCGACAUUGCUUGGUGGGUAGUUUGACUGGGGUGGUCGCCUCCAAAAGCGUAACGGAGGCUUCCAAAGGUGCCCUCGGACCGAUUGGUAACCGGUCUCAUAGAGUGUAAUGGCAUAAGGGCGCUUGACUGGGAGGGAGACAUCCCGAGCAGGCAGGAAACUGGGGCAUAGUGAUCCGGCGGAUGUGUAUGGAAACUCCGUCGCUCAAAGGAUAAAAGGUACUCCGGGGAUAACAGGCUGAUCCCCCCCCAAGAGCUCAUAUCGACGGGGUGGUUUGGCACCUCGAUGUCGGCUCGUCACAUCCUGGGGCUGGAGAAGGUCCCAAGGGUUGGGCUGUUCGCCCAUUAAAGUGGCACGCGAGCUGGGUUCAGAACGUCGUGAGACAGUUCGGUCUCUAUCUAUCGUGGGCGCGGGAGUUUUGAGUGGACACGUCACUAGUACGAGAGGACCGUGACGUACAGACCUCCGGUUUACCAGUUGUUCCGCCAGGUGCACUGCUGGGUAUCUGAGUCUGGCCGGGAUAAGCGCUGAAAGCAUCUAAGUGCGAAGCCCUCCGCAAGAUUAGAACUCCAUUGAGGGCCGUCGAAGACGACGACGUUGAUAGGAUGCAGGUGU